AUCCUUCGAUGUCGGCUC
rnacentral:ncRNA from 3 species